GUGGGGAAUUUUGGACAAUGGGCGCAAGCCUGAUCCAGCAAUGCCGCGUGCAGGAAGAAGGCCUUCGGGUUGUAAACUGCUUUUGUACGGAACGAAACGGUCCGGGUUAAUACCCUGGGCUAAUGACGGUACCGUAAGAAUAAGCACCGGCUAACUACGUGCCAGCAGCCGCGGUAAUACGUAGGGUGCAAGCGUUAAUCGGAAUUACUGGGCGUAAAGCGUGCGCAGGCGGUUAUGUAAGACAGAGGUGAAAUCCCCGGGCUCAACCUGGGAACUGCCUUUGUGACUGCAUAGCUGGAGUGCGGCAGAGGGGGAUGGAAUUCCGCGUGUAGCAGUGAAAUGCGUAGAUAUGCGGAGGAACACCGAUGGCGAAGGCAAUCCCCUGGGCCUGCACUGACGCUCAUGCACGAAAGCGUGGGGAGCAAACAGGAUUAGAUACCCGUGUAGUCC
rnacentral:rRNA from 1 species